rnacentral:rRNA from 1 species
UACGUAGGGGGCAAGCGUUGUCCGGAAUUAUUGGGCGUAAAGAGCGUGUAGGCGGUCCGGUAAGUCGGCUGUGAAAGUCCAGGGCUCAACCCUGGGAUGCCGGUCGAUACUGCCGGACUAGAGUUCGGAAGAGGCGAGUGGAAUUCCUGGUGUAGCGGUGAAAUGCGCAGAUAUCAGGAAGAACACCCGUGGCGAAGGCGGUUCUCUGGGACGGUACUGACGCUGAGACGCGAAAGCGUGGGGAGCGAACAGG